rnacentral:rRNA from 1 species
GAUGAACGCUGGCGGCGUGCCUAAUACAUGCCAGUCGAGCGAACAGAUGAGGAGCUUGCUCCUCUGACGUUAGCGGCGGACGGGUGAGUAACACGUGGAUAACCUACCUAUAAGACUGGGAUAACUUCGGGAAACCGGAGCUAAUACCGGAUAAUAUAUUGAACCGCAUGGUUCAAUAGUGAAAGACGGUUUUGCUGUCACUUAUAGAUGGAUCCGCGCCGCAUUAGCUAGUUGGUAAGGUAACGGCUUACCAAGGCAACGAUGCGUAGCCGACCUGAGAGGGGGAUGGGCCACACUGGAACUGAGACACGGCCCAGACUCCUACGGGGGGCAGCAGGGGGGAAUCUUCCGAAAUGGGCGAAAGCCUGACGGAGCAACGCCGGGUGAGUGAAGAAGGUCUUCGGAUCGUAAAACUCUGUUAUGAGGGAAGAAAAAAUGUGAAAGUAACGAUGCACGUCUGGACGGUACCUAAACAGAAAGCCACGGCCAACUACGG